CCCUUAGACGUUCCGGGCCGCACGCGCGCUACACUGACCAGUGCAACAAGCAUCCGUCCUUGGCCGACAGGCCCGGGCAAUCUUUGAACGCUGGUCGUGAUGGGGAUAGACUUUUGCAAUUUUUGGUCUUCAACGAGGAAUUCCUAGUAAACGCAAGUCAUCAACUUGCAUUGAUUACGUCCCUGCCCUUUGUACACACCGCCCGCCGCACCUACCGAUUGAAUGGUCCGGUGAAGCCUCCGGAUUGGCGCGCACCUCGGUGCCGCCGAGAAGUUGGCUAAACCUUACCAUUUAGAGGAAGGUGAAGUCGUAACA
rnacentral:rRNA from 1 species